rnacentral:rRNA from 1 species
CCUGAGAAACCCGAAAGUUCGAAUGGGGAGAUUCAGUGUCAGCGAUUUUGGUACGUGUGCGGUUCGCGAUGCCGGAGACCUCGGUCUCAUGGCACGCGUCCGUAUGUUUUUUAUUGCCAGAAUCGUCGGCGUGCACUUCUCCCCUAGUAGGACGUCGCGACCCGUUGGGUGUCGGUCUACGACCCGGGCGGUAGCCUGUCUCGUGUGCGCUUCACGGCGUUACGCGGGGCAGACCCCUGUGUGUCUGGCCGGCUGCUCGGCGGUACUCGCACGGUAUCUGGCCGCAAAUAUUCGAACUGCGUCCGGCCCGUCGCAAGCGAGGCAAGUGUUUCCCGGCUGUACGGAUCUAAUGCCGUCACCGGGCCUUGCCAGCUGUUGGUUGACGGUGUCCUAGGACUGGCCAAUAAAAUUAUGAUACCGGUCGGCGACGCUACUGCUUUGGGUACUUUCAGGACCCGUCUUGAAACACGGACCAAGGAGUCUAACAUGUGCGCGAGUCAUUGGGAACUAUUAAGCCUAAAGGCGCAAUGAAAGUGAAGGUCGGCCUUGCGCCGACCGAGGGAGGAUGGGCCGCGUCACGAUGCGGUCCCGCACUCCCGGGGCGUCUCGUUCUCAUUGCGA